GUGGCUCUGGCCUCCACGUUGCUGGGCCUGGCUGGGAGAGCGGGUUCUGUCACCUGCCUGGGAAAGCUGGGAUUUUCCAAGACAGUCCUGUGUCCCCCUCACCAUGCCGAUCCCCCGGAGAUCGGCUCCCACACCGGGGAGACCCUUACCACGCUCACCCUGCUAGCUGCUUGCCUCUCGCUUUGCCCCUCAGCUUGUCAUCUCUGACAGACAGCUGGAGCACCCUGUGCAGGACAGGACUUCCUUCUCUGUCAUCACUGUGGCUUGCAGGACUGGGGACCAGCACCCUCCUGCCCCUGCAGGUCAGAACCCCACAGUCCUGCUCUGUGACCUCAAACAAGAAUCUGCACAAGCCAGCCUGAGCGUGUGAGGAUCCCUGCGGACCGGCUUUCAGCCACCCUGACUCCCCCUGGGACUGUCAUCUCAGCAGCAACCAUCACUGAUGAACCCGGUCCCAGGAGCUGUAGUCUCAUGAGCUCAGCACCACGAGGAAAAGAUGGAAAGUGACACCUUCUGGUCCCAAAGUUCUGUGCAGGGGCAGGGUGGCGGCGGGGGUGCAGAUUGGACACCCGGGCCUGGGAGGUGGCCUGGUGCAGCAGCUGUCACAUCAGGAGGUGGCAGGAAUGGAAGCUGACAGCAUGGGUAGAGCUACGUGCCCUCCCAGGCACUGUGGGGUGCCCGUCACAGCCAGGAUGGAGGCUGAGGCAGGGCAGGGAGGGGUGCAGAGCACAUGGGACAGCCCCUGGCCAGCCAGGCAGGGCCUGUGCUGGCUGCCACACAGUGAUAGGAGGCAUUGGAAUGAAAAGCGGUGAUUGAAAUGCCAACCCUCCCUAGCUGCAAACUGCGGCUAAAGCACACCACCAGCUUCUCUGGGGCAGCGGCUUGCAGGGGACACACAGUGGGAUUCUGGCCUCCAGAGUCAUGUGAGUCAGUCUCCACAAUAAGCUUGUGCAUGCACAUGUGCACACUAUUGGCUGACACAGGACCACGGGAAGAGACGGGACCCUGUGCUGUGCCGGAUGCCGUGGUGACCUGAGAAGCUCUGAAGGGAUUAGCCAGCUCUCUUCUGGAUGCAUCUGGAAGGACAUUUCAGAGUGGGCUAACUAAGGGGGAUGCCCUGCCUCCAGUGGCCUCUUCCUGUCUCCUAGAGGUGAACAGCGGGUUCUUCCUCACUCUCCUAUGGCCAUAUUGUUCUUUCUCGCUGUGAUCCCAAAGCAGUAAAUCCGGCCAACCAUGGGCCAAAACUCUGAGACCACGAGCCAAAGAAACUUCUGUCCUGAAACCUGUCUCUCAGGCCUUUUUCACAGAAAUGAAAAGCUGACCGACACACUCUUCCUGGAGCAGAGUCACAAAGUCACGACAGACUGUGCUGCAGAGGGCGAGAAUACUGGAUCACUUUUCCAAGCACUCAACUUUGAGAUGCUGGUUACACAGCACCAUUGCGGCAUUGGCUACCUAAUACACAUCUUAGUAGGCUGGAGGUAGAUACUCGGCCUUAAUGAUUUUUUACUUCAGAAAAAUUUAACGGCUGAGCCCAAGGGCACAGAGUGACUGAACCUGGCUUUCCCUGUUGGUGCCCAGUGAUCACAGCUAGCCUUUUGAGGGUGUGGCCAAGUCUCAAUCUAAGGCUAGAGAUUCUGCACCCCAAUAUUUCAAAAUUAAACACCCUAACUCCAUCUCAUCUUCUAUGUGGCCUUGGAUAGGCCUCUAAACUUCCCUGGGCCUCAGUUUCCUUAUCUGUAGAAGGGGACAAUAAUAACAAUAGAUGCUUGUGCUAUGCAGAUUAAAAAAUCUCUGUACAAGAUGCACAGAGCAGGAUGUGGUCCACAGUAACCAUCAGAGAAGCAGGAUGCACUCCGCCCACACAGUUCUCUCAAUAACUAGCCAGGGUCUUACCAUUUUUUACAAGAUUUAUUUAUUAUGUAUGUAUGAGUGCUCUAUAUGGAUGUACACCUUUAUGCCAGAAGAGGGCAUCUGAUCUCAUUACAGAUGGUUGUGAGCCACCCUGUGGUUGUUGGGAAUUGAACUCAGGACCUCUGGAAGAACAGCCAAUGCUCUUAACCUCUGAGCCAUCUCUUCAGCCCCAGUUCUUAUCAUUCUUAGGAGCUGAAGUAAAGAGAGAUGUACUGACCAAUAUUCUGCCUCCACUACUGUGGUGGAUUGAAUGAGAAAGGUCCUUCAUGGUCUUGGGCAUUUGGACACUUGGUCUCCCGUGGGUGGCACUGUUUGGGGAGGUAGAGGAGGUGCAGCCUUGUUGCGGGGACCACAGCAUCACUGGGGAUGCCUUGCGAGAUAAAACCCUAUCGACACUUCCGGUUUGCUCUCUCAGCUUUGUGUUUUCGGUUCUGUUUGAACUCUCAGCUUUCUGUUCCUGCCACCACGUCUGCACUCUGUUGCUGUGCUUCUGCUUGGCUAUCAUGGACUUGGAUGCCUCUGUAACCAUAAUCAA